GGUUAAGCGACUAAGCGUACACGGUGGAUGCCCUGGCAGUCAGAGGCGAUGAAGGACGUGCUAAUCUGCGAUAAGCGUCGGUAAGGUGAUAUGAACCGUUAUAACCGGCGAUUUCCGAAUGGGGAAACCCAGUGUGUUUCGACACACUAUCAUUAACUGAAUCCAUAGGUUAAUGAGGCGAACCGGGGGAACUGAAACAUCUAAGUACCCCGAGGAAAAGAAAUCAACCGAGAUUCCCCCAGUAGCGGCGAGCGAACGGGGAGGAGCCCAGAGCCUGAAUCAGUGUGUGUGUUAGUGGAAGCGUCUGGAAAGGCGCGCGAUACAGGGUGACAGCCCCGUACACAAAAAUGCACAUGCUGUGAGCUCGAUGAGUAGGGCGGGACACGUGGUAUCCUGUCUGAAUAUGGGGGGACCAUCCUCCAAGGCUAAAUACUCCUGACUGACCGAUAGUGAACCAGUACCGUGAGGGAAAGGCGAAAAGAACCCCGGCGAGGGGAGUGAAAAAGAACCUGAAACCGUGUACGUACAAGCAGUGGGAGCACAGAGCAAUCUGUGUGACUGCGUACCUUUUGUAUAAUGGGUCAGCGACUUAUAUUCUGUAGCAAGGUUAACCGAAUAGGGGAGCCGAAGGGAAACCGAGUCUUAACUGGGCGUUAAGUUGCAGGGUAUAGACCCGAAACCCGGUGAUCUAGCCAUGGGCAGGUUGAAGGUUGGGUAACACUAACUGGAGGACCGAACCGACUAAUGUUGAAAAAUUAGCGGAUGACUUGUGGCUGGGGGUGAAAGGCCAAUCAAACCGGGAGAUAGCUGGUUCUCCCCGAAAGCUAUUUAGGUAGCGCCUCGUGAAUUCAUCUCCGGGGGUAGAGCACUGUUUCGGCAAGGGGGUCAUCCCGACUUACCAACCCGAUGCAAACUGCGAAUACCGGAGAAUGUUAUCACGGGAGACACACGGCGGGUGCUAACGUCCGUCGUGAAGAGGGAAACAACCCAGACCGCCAGCUAAGGUCCCAAAGUCAUGGUUAAGUGGGAAACGAUGUGGGAAGGCCCAGACAGCCAGGAUGUUGGCUUAGAAGCAGCCAUCAUUUAAAGAAAGCGUAAUAGCUCACUGGUCGAGUCGGCCUGCGCGGAAGAUGUAACGGGGCUAAACCAUGCACCGAAGCUGCGGCAGCGACACUGUGUGUUGUUGGGUAGGGGAGCGUUCUGUAAGCCUGUGAAGGUGUGCUGUGAGGCAUGCUGGAGGUAUCAGAAGUGCGAAUGCUGACAUAAGUAACGAUAAAGCGGGUGAAAAGCCCGCUCGCCGGAAGACCAAGGGUUCCUGUCCAACGUUAAUCGGGGCAGGGUGAGUCGACCCCUAAGGCGAGGCCGAAAGGCGUAGUCGAUGGGAAACAGGUUAAUAUUCCUGUACUUGGUGUUACUGCGAAGGGGGGGACGGAGAAGGCUAUGUUGGCCGGGCGACGGUUGUCCCGGUUUAAGCGUGUAGGCUGGUUUUCCAGGCAAAUCCGGAAAAUCAAGGCUGAGGCGUGAUGACGAGGCACUACGGUGCUGAAGCAACAAAUGCCCUGCUUCCAGGAAAAGCCUCUAAGCAUCAGGUAACAUCAAAUCGUACCCCAAACCGACACAGGUGGUCAGGUAGAGAAUACCAAGGCGCUUGAGAGAACUCGGGUGAAGGAACUAGGCAAAAUGGUGCCGUAACUUCGGGAGAAGGCACGCUGAUAUGUAGGUGAAGUCCCUCGCGGAUGGAGCUGAAAUCAGUCGAAGAUACCAGCUGGCUGCAACUGUUUAUUAAAAACACAGCACUGUGCAAACACGAAAGUGGACGUAUACGGUGUGACGCCUGCCCGGUGCCGGAAGGUUAAUUGAUGGGGUCAGCGCAAGCGAAGCUCUUGAUCGAAGCCCCGGUAAACGGCGGCCGUAACUAUAACGGUCCUAAGGUAGCGAAAUUCCUUGUCGGGUAAGUUCCGACCUGCACGAAUGGCGUAAUGAUGGCCAGGCUGUCUCCACCCGAGACUCAGUGAAAUUGAACUCGCUGUGAAGAUGCAGUGUACCCGCGGCAAGACGGAAAGACCCCGUGAACCUUUACUAUAGCUUGACACUGAACAUUGAGCCUUGAUGUGUAGGAUAGGUGGGAGGCUUUGAAGUGUGGACGCCAGUCUGCAUGGAGCCGACCUUGAAAUACCACCCUUUAAUGUUUGAUGUUCUAACGUGGACCCGUGAUCCGGGUUGCGGACAGUGUCUGGUGGGUAGUUUGACUGGGGCGGUCUCCUCCUAAAGAGUAACGGAGGAGCACGAAGGUUGGCUAAUCCUGGUCGGACAUCAGGAGGUUAGUGCAAUGGCAUAAGCCAGCUUGACUGCGAGCGUGACGGCGCGAGCAGGUGCGAAAGCAGGUCAUAGUGAUCCGGUGGUUCUGAAUGGAAGGGCCAUCGCUCAACGGAUAAAAGGUACUCCGGGGAUAACAGGCUGAUACCGCCCAAGAGUUCAUAUCGACGGCGGUGUUUGGCACCUCGAUGUCGGCUCAUCACAUCCUGGGGCUGAAGUAGGUCCCAAGGGUAUGGCUGUUCGCCAUUUAAAGUGGUACGCGAGCUGGGUUUAGAACGUCGUGAGACAGUUCGGUCCCUAUCUGCCGUGGGCGCUGGAGAACUGAGGGGGGCUGCUCCUAGUACGAGAGGACCGGAGUGGACGCAUCACUGGUGUUCGGGUUGUCAUGCCAAUGGCACUGCCCGGUAGCUAAAUGCGGAAGAGAUAAGUGCUGAAAGCAUCUAAGCACGAAACUUGCCCCGAGAUGAGUUCUCCCUGACCCUUUAAGGGUCCUGAAGGAACGUUGAAGACGACGACGUUGAUAGGCCGGGUGUGUAAGCGCAGCGAUGCGUUGAGCUAACCGGUACUAAUGAACCGUGAGGCUUAACCUU
rnacentral:rRNA from 1 species